UAUACACACUCUGCACUCACUAUACACACACUACAUUCACUAUACACACUCUGCAUUCAUUAUACACACUCUGCACUCACUACAAAAACACUACAUUCACUAUACACACUGCAUUCACUAUACACACUACAUUUAUUAUACACACUGCACUCACUACAAAUACACUACAUUCAUUAUGCACACUCUGCACUCACUAAAAACACACUGCAUUCAUUAUACACACUCUGCACUCACUACAAAUACAC